GACGACGUGGUUCUUCCUUGUGAGGUUGAGGCGCCCGAGAGGCGAUCAGAGCUCAGAGCCGAUUCAUUCCUGCUUGACUUUGGGUCGGUGCCUCGUGAGCGAGCUCAUUUCCCGGGGUUGCGGGUCCUUGCCUGGGGACACGCGAGUUGGAGAGCGCGUGCACCGGUCGUUCCCUUCCCGUGCUGCCCGCGUCCGGAUCGUCGGGACCCGGUUGUCUCUAGUAUGUGGAAAGGCUCGGGCUGGGAACUUCGAGGGAGGAGUUACCCCCUCGAGAUCCGGAGGACCAGAGCGGAGAGCAGGGCCACUGAGACCCUACAGGAUAUGACUCCGAGGAUCGCGUGCUGGACACGAGUGGCUACCGAGCCCGGAGAGCUUCGCGCUGCCUCCUCCUGGUCCCUUUCCAGAGGACUCUUUUCAGUCGGGGAUGCUUAUUAAAGCUCUGGCGGGAAAGAGAGAAUCACAAUUAAAGAAAUUAGUCCUACUCUGCAACGUCGGACACUUUAAUAGUAACUGGGGAGCGAUUGCGUUCAGGGAGAUCGAGGACAAGUAUCCUGGCCAGAUCCUGACAUGUUUUCCCGGUGUGUGUGGGUUCCAGGAAGGGCGAGGACGGACGGCGCACUACCACAGUCCGAUGAAUGUUCUCAUCACCGACCUUUGGAGUUUUUCAGCAUGUUGGAUUUUUAAACAUGUUCAGGUUGGAAAAUUGAGAGUGUAAUGUUAACAGUAAAGUUUAACCUUUUAAGCUGGUGGAGGAAGUUCAGACCACACCUGAACUGGUACCUGAGAUGACAGCACUGAAUCUGAAGACAAAGAAGGAUCAAAUUAGAACUGACUAUUAUUAGUCACUACUUCAGAAAGUCUUUUUACCUUAUUUUGGUAUGUUUAGUUAUUACUAUGAUUUGUAUGACUUUUACAUGUGUUUGAAAAGUAACAGAAGCUAAAGGCCAUUGUACAACUGGGUAACAGUCCCGUUUUCGUUCUCUUGCAUUUGGUUUGCCAUUCUGUAGCUGUGACUCCAGCUUGCUUUAGUUGAGCCUUGUCAUUCUUCACUCUCUGCAAACCAUUCCACGGAUUUGUUUUUCUUCACAAAAUUAGUUUCAUUUUCUUUGUUUGAUUGAUGGUCAUUGGCUACUGAAAUAAAAUAUGCAUUUUAAGGUAAA
rnacentral:lncRNA from 1 species